GACGAACGCUGGCGGCGUGCCUAAUACAUGCAAGUUGAGCGCUGAAGGUUGGUACUUGUACCAACUGGAUGAGCAGCGAACGGGUGAGUAACGCGUGGGGAAUCUGCCUUUGAGCGGGGGACAACAUUUGGAAACGAAUGCUAAUACCGCAUAAAAACUUUAAACACAAGUUUUAAGUUUGAAAGAUGCAAUUGCAUCACUCAAAGAUGAUCCCGCGUUGUAUUAGCUAGUUGGUGAGGUAAAGGCUCACCAAGGCGAUGAUACAUAGCCGACCUGAGAGGGUGAUCGGCCACAUUGGGACUGAGACACGGCCCAAACUCCUACGGGAGGCAGCAGUAGGGAAUCUUCGGCAAUGGACGAAAGUCUGACCGAGCAACGCCGCGUGAGUGAAGAAGGUUUUCGGAUCAUAAAACUCUGUUGGUAGAGAAGAACGUUGGUGAGAGUGGAAAGCUCAUCAAGUGACGGUAACUACCCAGAAAGGGACGGCUAACUACGUG
rnacentral:rRNA from 1 species